UCUCUCUCUCGCGCGCUGCACAGCCCCCCCCCCCGUUCUCUUCUCUUUUCCUUUCUCUUUUCUUUCUUCUUUUUCUUCCUCUUUUCUUCUCCGCUCCACGGCCGCCGCCCCUAUUCUUCUUCCCGUCCUGCCGCAGCCAACCGCAGCCAGCCGUCGAUCCUUUCUCCUCCGUUUUCUUUCCGCCGCAGCCCAGCCGCCGUCUCUGUUCGCGAAGCAAGGCCGCCGCGUGACCUUCCGCCCACCGCCGCGUGACCUUCCGCCCACCGCCGUGUGACCCUCUGUCCAGAUCUGCACCGCUAGAUCGAGGCGUCCACCGGGUUCGUCUGUUUCUGUCUCCGUUCACCGAAGCCGAACCCAACCGCCACCCUUUCUUUUCUUCUUCGAGCCAAAAACUGCCACUGCAACCGUCAGCCGCCGCGUGACCUCUGCCCAGCACCGCCGCGCGACCUCUGUCUCCGCGCCGUUACCCAGAUCUGCGUCGCCGUGCCCCGUCCUAAUCGUCUCUGUCUCCGUCGAAGUUUUGUUGGUGUGAAAGGUAACUUUGGAUCACUUAAAUUCACAACCAAUUUGUGAAUUGUUGAGGGUUCAGUUCGCCAGUAUUUCGGAUUUGAUUCAUUGGAUUUAGUAGAUUGAAGAAUUUGCAUAGAAAUCGAGGUGUGAAAGGUAACUUUGGAUCACUUAAAUUCACAACCAAUUUGUGAAUUGUUGAGGGUUCAGUUCGCCAGUAUUUCGGAUUUGAUUCAUUGGAUUUAGUAGAUUGAAGAAUUUGCAUAGAAAUCGAGGUAAGGGAUUUUCUACUGGACUCACUUAUGAUUGUGAAUUGCAUGUCUGAAUGAUUAUCUUUGACUGAGUAAAGAUGUUGAGAUGAUACUUAUGUUUAUACACGUAUGGGUGUAGAUUCGGUGCUGAAUGUACACUGUGGAUUGACUGAAAAUAUAUAUACAUAUGCAUAGGAAUUGAAGUAGA